GAUGAAGAACGCAGCGAAAUGCGAUAAAUAAUGUGAAUUGCAGAAUUCAGUGAAUCAUCGAGUCUUUGAACGCACAUUGCGCCCCCUGGUAUUCCGGGGGGCAUGCCUGUCCGAGCGUCAUUGCUGCCCUCAAGCACGGCUUGUGUGUUGGGCCCCCGCCCCCCGGUUCCCGGGGGGCGGGCCCGAAAGGCAGCGGCGGCACCGCGUCCGGUCCUCGAGCGUAUGGGGCUUCGUCACCCGCUCCGUAGGNNNNNCCGGCGCCCGCCGGCGACCCCCCCUCAAUCUUUCCAGGUUGACCUCGGAUCAGGUAGGGAUACCCGCUGAACUUAAGCAUAUCAAUAAGCGGAGGA
rnacentral:misc_RNA from 1 species